UGCAAGUCGAACGAGGUCUUCGGACCUAGUGGCGCACGGGUGAGUAACAUGUGGGAAUCUACCUGAAGGUUCGGAAUAACUGCGGGAAACUGUAGCUAAUACCGGAUGUGUCUGAAAAGAGAAAGAUUUAUCGCCUUCAGAUGAGCCCGCACUAGAUUAGCUAGUUGGUGAGGUAAUUGCUCCACCAAGGCUACGAUCUAUAGCUGAUUUGAGAGGAUGAUCAGCCACACUGGGACUGAGACACGGCCCAGACUCCUACGGGAGGCAGCAGUGGGGAAUAUUGGACAAUGGGGGAAACCCUGAUCCAGCAAUGCCGCGUGAGUGAAGAAGGCCUUCGGGUUGUAAAACUCUUUCAUCAAUGAAGAUAAUGACAUUAAUUGAAGAAGAAGCUCCGGCUAACUCCGUGCCAGCAGCCGCGGUAAUACGGAGGGGGCUAGCGUUGUUCGGAAUUACUGGGCGUAAAGCGUAUGUAGGCGGAUCAAAAAGUUAGAUGUGAAAUCCCUGGGCUUAACCUAGGAACUGCAUUUAAAACUAGUGAUCUAGAAUUUGGUAGAGGUUAGUAGAAUUUCCAGUGUAGAGGUGAAAUUCGUAGAUAUUGGAAAGAAUACCAGUGGCGAAGGCGACUAACUGGGCCAUUUUUGACGCUGAGAUACGAAAGCGUGGGUAGCAAACAGGAUUAGAUACCCUGGUAGUCCACGCAGUAAACGAUGAGUGCUAGUCGCUGGGUCAAUGGAUUCGGUGUCGAAGCUAACGCAUUAAGCACUCCGCCUGGGAAGUACGGUCGCAAGAUUAAAACUCAAAUAAAUUGACGGGGGCCCGCACAAGCGGUGGAGCAUGUGGUUUAAUUCGAAGCAACGCGAAGAACCUUACCAGACCUUGACAUGGUAUGUUUGGAUUACAGAAUCGUAAUCUUUCAGUUCGGCUGGCAUACACACAGGUGCUGCAUGGCUGUCGUCAGCUCGUGUCGUGAGAUGUUGGGUUAAGUCCCGCAACGAGCGCAACCCUCAUCUUUAGUUGCCAUCAGGUUAUGCUGGGCACUCUAAAGAAACUGCCGGUGAUAAGCUGGAGGAAGGCGGGGAUGACGUCAAGUCCUCAUGGCCCUUACGGUCUGGGCUACACACGUGCUACAAUGGUGGUGACAGUGGGCAGCUAUGUCGCGAGACAAAGCUAAUCCCAAAAAGCCAUCUCAGUUCAGAUUGGACUCUGCAACUCGAGUCCAUGAAGUUGGAAUCGCUAGUAAUCGUAGAUCAGCAUGCUACGGUGAAUACGUUCUCGGGCCUUGUACACACCGCCCGUCACGUCAUGGGAAUUGGUUUUACCUUAAGCCGGUGCGCUAACCUUCGGGAGGCAGCCGUC
rnacentral:rRNA from 1 species